GGAAUGACAUGCCAUGAAAUGCUCCGCUCUCUUCUCUUUUCCUUGCUGCCCCCGGGCCUGGAGGAGCACGGCCUCCCCGGGAACUGGGUCUUGGCCUCGCUGGACUCCUGUCUCCUUCCGAGGGUUGAGCCGGGGAGCCAGAAACAAGCGGCCAGGCGAGGCAAAAGCCCGGGCUCGAGCCCCGCUCAGCCACAGCCAGCUGGCUGAUGGUCACCUCACUUCUCUGAGCCUCCGAAUCGUUUUCUGUGAAAUUGUCGUUGCACAAACACCGAGCUGAGGGCAAGCUCUCUCUAAAGCUAGGACACGGCCCUGCCCACAGGUCUGUGGAGAAGGCAGGGCCCCUCCUACCCCUUCACUAGGUCCCGACUCCAGACCCGAGGCCUUUUUUCAGCCUGGCUUUCCCCUGCCAAGACCUGGCUGCUCAGACAGGACUCGCCCAGGCCGUGGUAAUUUGUGGAAGAGCCACACUCAAGGGGCCAAAGAGCCGCAUGUGGCUUGUGAGCCGCAGUUUGCCGACCACGGCGCUAACCGGACCCCUGCUGUGUCCAGGUAAAUGUAACAAGAGAACAUAUCUGCCUGCGUGCUUCUGUAUGCUGACAUUAGCUCUGGAAACACACAAGGACCAGGUAACUUGCAGGAGCCUGUGGAAGAGGAACUGGACAGCUGUUUCCCUUUUUGUACAUUUUGAGUGUUGUAUCAUAUGCAUAUAUUAUCUAUUCAAAAAAUAAAAUAAUUAAAACAA